GACAGAGGGUGCAAGCGUUGUUCGGAAUUACUGGGCGUAAAGCGUGUGUAGGCGGCCACGUAAGUCGGAUGUGAAAGCCCCAGGCUCAACCUGGGAAGUGCACUCGAUACUGCGUGGCUUGAGUAUCGGAGAGGUUGGUGGAAUUCUCGGUGUAGAGGUGAAAUUCGUAGAUAUCGAGAGGAACACCGGUGGCGAAGGCGGCCAACUGGACGAAUACUGACGCUGAGACACGAAAGCGUGGGGAGCAAACAGG
rnacentral:rRNA from 1 species